UACGUAGGGGGCAAGCGUUGUCCGGAAUCAUUGGGCGUAAAGAGCGUGUAGGCGGCUCGGUAAGUCCGCUGUGAAAGUCCAGGGCUCAACCCUGGAAUGCCGGUGGAAACUGUCGAGCUAGAGUCCGGAAGAGGCGAGUGGAAUUCCUGGUGUAGCGGUGAAAUGCGCAGAUAUCAGGAGGAACACCAAUGGCGAAGGCAGCUCGCUGGGACGGUACUGACGCUGAUGCACGAAAGCUAGGGGAGCAAACAGG
rnacentral:rRNA from 1 species